GACGUAGGGCGCGAGCGUUGUCCGGAUUUAUUGGGCGUAAAGAGCUCGUAGGCGGUUUGUCGCGUCUGCUGUGAAAACUGGAGGCUCAACCUCCAGCCUGCAGUGGGUACGGGCAGACUAGAGUGCGGUAGGGGAGAUUGGAAUUCCUGGUGUAGCGGUGGAAUGCGCAGAUAUCAGGAGGAACACCGGUGGCGAAGGCGGGUCUCUGGGCCGAUACUGACGCUGAGGAGCGAAAGCGUGGGGAGCGAACAGG
rnacentral:rRNA from 1 species